GCCUUCGCGGUGCAAUUGCAAGCACAUCUGGCUGGCAAUCAGGAGGUCCGGCGUUCAAUCCCAGCGAGGGCA
rnacentral:tRNA from 1 species